rnacentral:rRNA from 1 species
GCGGCCUAUCAGCUUGUUGGUGAGGUAAUGGCUCACCAAGGCAACGACGGGUAGCCGGCCUGAGAGGGCGACCGGCCACACUGGGACUGAGACACGGCCCAGACUCCUACGGGAGGCAGCAGUGGGGAAUAUUGGGCAAUGGAGGAAACUCUGACCCAGCGACGCCGCGUGCGGGAUGAAGGCCUUCGGGUUGUAAACCGCUUUCAGUAGGGAAGAAGCGAAAGUGACGGUACCUACAAAAGAAGCACCGGCUAACUAUGUGCCAGCAGCCGCGGUAAUACAUAGGGUGCAAGCGUUGUCCGGAAUUAUUGGGCGUAAAGAGCUCGUAGGUCGUUUGUUACGUCGGAUGUGAAAACCUGAGGCUCAACCUCAGGCCUGCAUUCGAUACGGGCAAACUAGAGUUUGGUAGGGGAGACUGGAAUUCCU